AAACGGGUGCGGAACACGUACGCAACCUUCCUUUAACUGGAGAAUAGCCCCUCGAAAGAGGGAUUAAUACUCCGUAACAUCCCGAUGUGGCAUCACAACGGGAUUAUAGCUCCGGCGGUUAAAGAUGGGCGUGCGCCUGAUUAGAUAGUUGGCGGGUAACGGCCCACCAAGUCUGCGAUCAGUAACUGGUGUGAGAGCACGACCAGUCACACGGGCACUGAGACACGGGCCCG
rnacentral:rRNA from 1 species